GACAGAGGGUGCAAACGUUGUUCGGAAUUACUGGGCGUAAAGCGCGUGUAGGCUGCUUAGCAAGUCGGAUGUGAAAGCCCUGGGCUCAACCUAGGAAGUGCAUUCGAAACUGCAAAGCUUGAGUCCUGGAGAGGAUAGCGGAAUUCUCGGUGUAGAGGUGAAAUUCGUAGAUAUCGAGAGGAACACCGGUGGCGAAGGCGGCUAUCUGGACAGCGACUGACGCUGAGACGCGAAAGCGUGGGGAGCAAACAGGG
rnacentral:rRNA from 1 species